UUAGACCGUCGUGAGACAGGUUAGUUUUACCCUACUGAUGUAGGUUAUCGUAAUAGUAAUUCAACUUAGUACGAGAGGAACCGUUGAUUCAGAUAAUUGGUCUUUGCCCCUGUCCGAACGGGCAGUGGGGCGAAGCUACCAUCUGCUGGAUAAUGGCUGAACGCCUCUAAGCCAGAAUCCGUGCUAGAAACGAUGAUGUUUGGUCCCGUGUGUAUGACACGCGUUU
rnacentral:ncRNA from 1 species